ACACGUGGGUAACCUGCCUGUAAGACUGGGAUAACUCCGGGAAACCGGAGCUAAUACCGGAUAGUUCCUUGAACCGCAUGGUUCAAGGAUGAAAGACGGUUUCGGCUGUCACUUACAGAUGGACCCGCGGCGCAUUAGCUAGUUGGUGAGGUAACGGCUCACCAAGGCGACGAUGCGUAGCCGACCUGAGAGGGUGAUCGGCCACACUGGGACUGAGACACGGCCCAGACUCCUACGGGAGGCAGCAGUAGGGAAUCUUCCGCAAUGGACGAAAGUCUGACGGAGCAACGCCGCGUGAGUGAUGAAGGUUUUCGGAUCGUAAAGCUCUGUUGUUAGGGAAGAACAAGUGCAAGAGUAACUGCUUGCACCUUGACGGUACCUAACCAGAAAGCCACGGCUAACUACGUGCCAGCAGCCGCGGUAAUACGUAGGUGGCAAGCGUUGUCCGGAAUUAUUGGGCGUAAAGGGCUCGCAGGCGGUUUCUUAAGUCUGAUGUGAAAGCCCCCGGCUCAACCGGGGAGGGUCAUUGGAAACUGGGAAACUUGAGUGCAGAAGAGGA
rnacentral:rRNA from 1 species